rnacentral:rRNA from 1 species
UACAGAGGUCUCAAGCGUUGUUCGGAUUCAUUGGGCGUAAAGGGUGUGUAGGUGGCGCCGUAAGUCGGGUGUGAAAUUCCGGAGCUUAACUCCGAAACUGCAUUCGAUACUGCGGUGCUUGAGGACUGGAGAGGAGACUGGAAUUUACGGUGUAGCAGUGAAAUGCGUAGAUAUCGUAAGGAAGACCAGUGGCGAAGGCGGGUCUCUGGACAGUUCCUGACACUGAGGCACGAAGGCCAGGGGAGCAAACGGG